CACUGGGAAAACCCUUCCAGGGUCAAUAUGGGCACAGUUCAGUAUCUACAACUAAACUGAGGCCAGAAGGAGAAUGCUGUUGUCAGGAUGUGUUCUUGGUUUGUACUAAGCUGUUUCCAACAAAAUACUUAUUCCUAGAACCAGUUGAAAAAGCAUAUUCGUUUUCACUGCGUGUAAACCAGCCUCAACCAGUUUGGCAGCAAAUACUUGAUUGUAGAUCCAUAAAUAUGUUCGUGACAAAAAUUGACUGCAUUCUUUACUUAAUGGAAAGCUGCUAGCACAUGAAUCAAAGACUCCUUCAUUUACACACUUGGGAGUCCCUUAAAAUACUAAAGUGAAAGCUAUAAUAUGUCUGCAGAGAACCUGGAACCCACCCAUGCAGGCCCUGUGCCUGCUGCUUUCAUCUCUAUGAGCUCAUCUCCAAGACUCAAGGCCUGGACAGUAUUUC